AGGAAUGUUCCUUAUCGUAUCCGUGUACGCUUAUCCCGAAAGCGUAAUGAAGAUGAAGAUUCACCCAAUAAGUUGUAUACACUGGUUACUUAUGUGCCAGUCACCACUUUCAAAGGUCUACAGACUGUUAAUGUAGAUGAAAACUAAGCUUUUAUUACAAUAAAAAUACUAAAUUGAUAUUAAACAUUUUUGCAAUCAGA